rnacentral:rRNA from 1 species
UACAGAGGUCUCAAGCGUUGUUCGGAUUCAUUGGGCGUAAAGGGUGCGUAGGCGGCUCGGUAAGUCGGGUGUGAAAUUUCGGAGCUUAACUCCGAAACUGCAUUCGAUACUGCGGUGCUUGAGGACUGGAGAGGAGACUGGAAUUCAUGGUGUAGCAGUGAAAUGCGUAGAGAUCAUGAGGAAGACCAGUGGCGAAGGCGGGUCUCUGGACAGUUCCUGACACUGAGGCACGAAGGCCAGGGGAGCAAACGGG